ACAGCCGCGGUGUUUCCCGGGUUACCAGAUGCCACGUGUUUGGGGAGUAAGUGCGGGUGCGCAUCUGGUGCGGAGUAGGAGGGCAGCUUGGCUUGGCUGGAGCUAAGAGCCAGACACACCACUGUGUGGAGGUGGGUGACGUCUUCCCGUGCUAAAAGGUGAAUAAAUAAGCUCCUCACCUCUCGCGGAACACUCGAGAACACAUCAACAGGGGUCCAAGCCGCCCUGCUGGGAGGCUUUUCUUCAAGAGUUCUGGGUGCCAGAGUGGAAGGCAUUUUCCCAUCAACUGGAGAGAGACGAAACAUCUGAGACCAGGAGGCUGUGGAGAAAGCAGCUGUCCCAGGUGCCUCAACUAUCAGAGAAGGGUCAGCGCCACGUGGCUGCCAGCAUCUUUGAGAAAAUCAUUGGCAACCGGACUUCAGAGCUGCAGGCAGAGGUGUGGUUAGAACUGAGAUACGACCUGCCCACCUGGGUCAGGCCUAAAGACAAGAAGUCCUGAGUUCUUGCCACUGAGUAGGCCAGGGUCAUUUGUCCAGAAAACUUUGUGACUGUCUUUGAGUGUCCUAGUCUGGGACCCAUUCAUUGGUGGG
rnacentral:sRNA from 1 species